rnacentral:piRNA from 1 species
CACAAUUGUUUUGAGUUGCCUUAACCACG